UACGGAGGGUGCAAACGUUGCUCGGAAUCAUUGGGCGUAAAGCGCACGUAGGCGCCUGAUAAGUCGGGUGUGAAAGCCCUGGGCUCAACCCAGGAAGUGCACUCGAAACUGUCAGGCUUGAAUAUGGAAGAGGGUCGCGGAAUUCCCGUGUAGAGGUGAAAUUCGUAGAUAUUGGGAAGACACCGGUGGCGAAGGCGGCUCUCUGGACCGAGACUGACGCUGAG
rnacentral:rRNA from 1 species